AAAUUGAAGAGUUUGAUCAUGGCUCAGAUUGAACGCUGGCGGCAGGCCUAACACAUGCAAGUCGAGCGGAAACGAGUUAUCUGAACCUUCGGGGGACGAUAACGGCGUCGAGCGGCGGACGGGUGAGUAAUGCCUAGGAAAUUGCCCUGAUGUGGGGGAUAACCAUUGGAAACGAUGGCUAAUACCGCAUGAUGCCUACGGGCCAAAGAGGGGGACCUUCGGGCCUCUCGCGUCAGGAUAUGCCUAGGUGGGAUUAGCUAGUUGGUGAGGUAAGGGCUCACCAAGGCGACGAUCCCUAGCUGGUCUGAGAGGAUGAUCAGCCACACUGGAACUGAGACACGGUCCAGACUCCUACGGGAGGCAGCAGUGGGGAAUAUUGCACAAUGGGCGCAAGCCUGAUGCAGCCAUGCCGCGUGUGUGAAGAAGGCCUUCGGGUUGUAAAGC
rnacentral:rRNA from 1 species